rnacentral:rRNA from 1 species
CGCGUAGGCGGCCCGCCAAGUCCGGGGUGAAAUCCUCCCGCCCAACGGGAGAAGUGCCUUGGAUACUGGCGGGCUCGAGCGGGGUAGGGGCAUGUGGAACUUCCGGUGGAGCGGUGAAAUGCGUAGAUAUCGGAAGGAACGCCGGUGGCGAAAGCGACGUGCUGGACCCCCCCUGACGCUGAGGCGCGAAAGCCAGGGGAGCGAACG